AUUGAACGCUGGCGGCAGGCCUAACACAUGCAAGUCGAACGAGUGGCGCACGUGUGAGUAAUGUCUGGGACACUGCGCUAUGGGGGGGGCUAACUACUGGAAACGGUAGCUAAUCCCGCAUACCAUCGGAUGUGCCCAGAUGGGAUUAGCUAGUAGGUGGGGUAAUGGCUCACCUAGGCGACGAUCCCUAGCUGGUCUGAGAGGAUGACCAGCCACACUGGAACUGAGACACGGUCCAGACUCCUACGGGAGGCAGCAGUGGGGAAUAUUGCACAAUGGGCGCAAGCCUGAUGCAGCCAUGCCGCGUGUAUGAAGAAGGUCUUCGGGUUGUAAAGUACUUUCAGCGAGGAGGCGGUACUCGCAGAAGAAGCACCGGCUAACUCCGUGCCAGCAGCCGCGGUAAUUC
rnacentral:rRNA from 1 species